rnacentral:rRNA from 1 species
AAUAUUGGACAAUGGGGGCAACCCUGAUCCAGCCAUGCCGCGUGUGUGAAGUAGGUCUUCGGAUUGUAAAGCACUUUACUUUGGGAGGAAGGGCUUUAGGUACAUACCCUGAAGGUUUGUCGAUACCAACAUAUUUAGCAUUGACUAACGCUGUGCCAACAGCCGCGGUAAUACAGUGGGUGCAAGCGUUAAUCGGAAUUACUGGGCGUAAAGCGCGCGUAGGUGGUUCAGUAAGAUGGGUGUGAAAUCCCCGGGCUUAACCUGGGAACUGCUUUCAUAACUGCUGAGCUAGAGUACGGUAGAGGGUAGUGGAAUUUCCUGUGUAGCGGUGAAAUGCGUAGAUAUAGGAAGGAACACCAGUGGCGAAGGCGACUACCUGGACUGAUACUGACACUGAGGUGCGAAAGCGUGGGGAGCAAA